UGCAGCCUUGUCAAAUUCAGUGCUUCCUCCUCAGUGGGUGCCACUGGCCAAAACGGCUGCCACAGUGACGCUGUAGUUCAUGGGCCCCAUGGAGCUUUAACAUGCUCACUGGGGAUAAAUAUGUACUACAUACACAC